rnacentral:tRNA from 1 species
GCGCUCGUAGCUCAGUGGAUAGAGCACCGCUCUCCUAAAGCGGGUGUCGGCGGUUCGAGUCCGCCCGAGCGCACUA